UACGUAGGGUGCGAGCGUUGUCCGGAAUUAUUGGGCGUAAAGAGCUCGUAGGCGGUGUGUCACGUCGGCCGUGAAAACUUGCAGCUUAACUGUGGGCGUGCGGUCGAUACGGGCAUCACUGGAGUUCGGCAGGGGAGACUGGAAUUCCUGGUGUAGCGGUGAAAUGCGUAAAGAUCAGGAAGAACACCCGUGGCGCAAGCGGCCACCUGGCAGAGACCUGACGCUGAGGCACGAAAGCGUGGGGAGCGAACCGG
rnacentral:rRNA from 1 species